rnacentral:rRNA from 1 species
CUGGCGGCGUGCUUAACACAUGCAAGUCGAACGAUGAUCCCAGCUUGCUGGGGGAUUAGUGGCGAACGGGUGAGUAACACGUGAGUAACCUGCCCUUGACUCUGGGAUAAGCCUGGGAAACUGGGUCUAAUACCGGAUAUGACUCCUCAUCGCAUGGUGGGGGGUGGAAAGCUUUUGUGGUUUUGGAUGGACUCGCGGCCUAUCAGCUUGUUGGUGGGGUAAUGGCCUACCAAGGCGACGACGGGUAGCCGGCCUGAGAGGGUGACCGGCCACACUGGGACUGAGACACGGCCCAGACUCCUACGGGAGGCAGCAGUGGGGAAUAUUGCACAAUGGGCGCAAGCCUGAUGCAGCGACGCCGCGUGAGGGAUGACGGCCUUCGGGUUGUAAACCUCUUUCAGUAGGGAAGAAGCGUAAGUGACGGUACCUGCAGAAGAAGCGCCGGCUAACUACGUGCCAGCAGCCGCGGUAAUACGUAGGGCGCAAGCGUUAUCCGGAAUUAUUGGGCGUAAAGAGCUCGUAGGCGGUUUGUCGCGUCUGCUGUGAAAGACCGGGGCUCAACUCCGGUUCUGCAGUGGGUACGGGCAGACUAGAGUGCAGUAGGGGAGACUGGAAUUCCUGGUGUAGCGGUGAAAUGCGCAGAUAUCAGGAGGAACACCGAUGGCGAAGGCAGGUCUCUGGGCUGUAACUGACGCUGAGGAGCGAAAGCAUGGGGAGCGAACAGGAUUAGAUACCCUGGUAGUCCAUGCCGUAAACGUUGGGCACUAGGUGUGGGGGACAUUCCACGUUUUCCGCGCCGUAGCUAACGCAUUAAGUGCCCCGCCUGGGGAGUACGGCCGCAAGGCUAAAACUCAAAGGAAUUGACGGGGGCCCGCACAAGCGGCGGAGCAUGCGGAUUAAUUCGAUGCAACGCGAAGAACCUUACCAAGGCUUGACAUGAACCG